rnacentral:misc_RNA from 1 species
GAGUUCGAGGAGAGAGAAGGACAGGAAGAAGCACAGAGAGGACACGCCCACAUCACCCUCAAACUACGACGAUGAUGACUCGGAAACCUCGGACGAUAGACGGGGGCGCCGUCGGAAGGACCGGCGAAGCAGCGAUGGGAGUUCGAGGAGAGAGAAGGACAGGAAGAGAGAAAAGAGAGAUGAGAAGAGAAGAAAGAGAAGAGAAAGAAGGGAAAGGGAUAGAGAUAGGGAUAGGAAGAGAAGGAAAUCAAGGAAGAAGAGGAAUUAUGACUCGGAAUCUGAAUCUGCGUUUGGGUCGGAGUCCGAUUCUGGUUCUGAUACGGAGGAGCAGCAGAGACAACGAGUCAAGCCGGAAGAU